rnacentral:rRNA from 1 species
GUGGGUAGUUUGACUGGGGCGGUCUCCUCCUAAAGAGUAACGGAGGAGCACGAAGGUUGGCUAAUCCUGGUCGGACAUCAGGAGGUUAGUGCAAUGGCAUAAGCCAGCUUGACUGCGAGCGUGACGGCGCGAGCAGGUGCGAAAGCAGGUCAUAGUGAUCCGGUGGUUCUGAAUGGAAGGGCCAUCGCUCAACGGAUAAAAGGUACUCCGGGGAUAACAGGCUGAUACCGCCCAAGAGUUCAUAUCGACGGCGGUGUUUGGCACCUCGAUGUCGGCUCAUCACAUCCUGGGGCUGAAGUAGGUCCCAAGGGUAUGGCUGUUCGCCAUUUAAAGUGGUACGCGAGCUGGGUUUAGAACGUCGUGAGACAGUUCGGUCCCUAUCUGCCGUGGGCGCUGGAGAACUGAGGGGGGCUGCUCCUAGUACGAGAGGACCGGAGUGGACGCAUCACUGGUGUUCGGGUUGUCAUGCCAAUGGCACUGCCCGGUAGCUAAAUGCGGAAGAGAUAAGUGCUGAAAGCAUCUAAGCACGAAACUUGCCCCGAGAUGAGUUCUCCCUGAGACUUAAAGUCUCCUGAAGGAACGUUGAAGACGACGACGUUGAUAGGCCGGGUGUGUAAGCGCAGCGAUGCGUUGAGCUAA